rnacentral:rRNA from 1 species
CCUACGGGUGUCAGCAGUGAGGAAUAUUGGUCAAUGGGCGCAGGCCUGAACCAGCCAAGUAGCGUGAGGGACGACUGCCCUAUGGGUUGUAAACCUCUUUUAUAAGGGAAGAAUAAUGACUACGUGUAGUCAGAUGCCCGUACCUUAUGAAUAAGCAUCGGCUAACUCCGUGCCAGCAGCCGCGGUAAUACGGAGGAUUCGAGCGUUAUCCGGAUUUAUUGGGGUUAAAGGGGGCGUAGUGGGUAUUUUAAGUUAGUGGUCAAACGUCGGGGCUUGACCUUGAUUGGCCAGUAAGACUGGAGUACUAGAGUUCAGGCGAGGUAGACGGAAUAAGUUAAGUAGCAGUGCAAUGCUUAGAUAUAACACAGAACCCCGAUAGGGAAGGCAGCUUACCAGACUGUUACUGACGCUGAAGCACUAGAGGGUGGGUAGCGAACAGGAUUAGAUUGUAGUC